rnacentral:lncRNA from 1 species
GCCAGAAACACACUGAUUCAAUUGUUUAGCUACAAAUGUAUUAUAAACUCAAGCUAAGCAAGUUUCCCCCAACAGUCUUCUUUUUCAAAGUUUUCCAGGUAUUUGUGCACAUUAAUAUAUCACUUCCAUAUGCAGCUUCUUUAAUCCUGGUUUAUAAAGAGAUGAAAGGGUAUCCAAAUGAAGUCUCUAAACAGUCACUACCACCCAACCUCACUGACACCAUGGAGCCUGCCCCCCAUACCCAAUCCAUGCCUAGGCAUAAAACCCUUUCCAGAACAAUCAUCUAAACGGAGCCUUUUCCAAAGUUCCGUGUUACCGGGUCACAGUGAGAUGGAAUCUAUGUGGAGAUGGAAUUGAGGGAAAGCCCUGGGUGUGAAUAUACAUAUUAGUCAGGACACUUCAGAGUCAGAUAAAAUUAGCAAGUCCAAAAUAUGGCAUUUCAGGAAGGAGAGGACAAAACAGUGAACCAAGAAUAUAACUUUUACCUGAGAAAGAGCCAUUCCCUCCUCUUCUUUCUUUCCUCUUCCUCUGAGUUUCUUUCUCAGGGGGAAGAAAUCGUCAUAAGUGAAAGGUUAUUUUCCAUGAAAAUGUGGCCCACAACUCGUGUUGCCAUGCAGAACCUUCUGCUUACUCAAUAUUGAGUGCUGGAAAAUGACAGAAUGGCCUCUGUGGACCUGAAAAUUGGAAUGAUCUUCCUAUUUGUGGGCAGCAAGCCACCCAGCUGCCGAGGCAAGAGACCGAGGGCACGAGCUGUUCCAGCAUAAUAAAAUAUAUAAAACAACAAGAGUUAUAUUAGAUCUAGAUCAUAGACAUGAUUAUAUAUGAAUAUCAUUAAUCAUUAGUUGGUAGCAAUUACUCUUAUUCCAAUAUUAUAAUAAUCCUCGCUCUAUAAUCAUAACCUAGGAAAAGCCAGGCCAUACAGAGAUAGGAGCUGAGGAGACAUAGUGAAAAGUGACCAGAAGACAAGAGCGCGAGCCUUCUGUUACGCCCAGACAGGGCCACCAGAGGGCUCCUUGGUCUAGGGGUAACGCCAGCGUGUGGGAAGACGCCCGUUGCCAAGUGGACCGUGGUCUAGCGGUAGCGUUAGUGUCAGGGAAAAACACCCGCUAUUUAGCAGACCGGGAAAGGGAGUCUCCCUUUCCCUGGGGGAGUUUAGAGAAGACUCUACUCCUCCACCUCUUGUGGAGGGCCUGACUCAGUACCACCUGCAGUUAUCCAGAGGCCUGUCUCCCUGUGAUGCUGUGCUUCAGUGGUCACGCUCCUGGUCUGCCUUCAUGUUCCAUCUUGUACACCUGGCUCUGCCUUCUAGAUAGCAGUAGUAAAAUUAGUGAAAGUACUAAAAGUCUCUGAUAUGCAAAAAUAAUGGCAUAAGCUGUCUCUC